UUCAUUGCCAAAAGAGUUCGACACCUUUGUUGUCAACUACAACAUUCAACCCGAGAAGUGGGAUCUUGAUCGUUGUAUGGCUAUGUGUGUGCAAGAAGAGGAGAGAAUAAAAGCUGCCAAUGGUGGCACUCUCCACUAUGUUAAAGAUAAUAAGAAAAGAAAUUUCAAUGCCAAUGCCAACUCUCCCGCAAAAGCAAAGGGAAAGGCUCCUCAGCACCAUCAGCCUCAACAGAAAAGUUUAUGGUAAACAAAGAUCAAUGUCUCCACUGUAAGAAGACAGGACAUUACAAAAAAGACUGUCCUGAAUUCUUAAAAUCUAUCAUGGCAAAGAAUGGGAUUCCGUUCGACGAGGACUAUGCAAAGAAAAGAAAGACACAUUAAAGUUGCAAAUGGAGUGCAAGCAGAUGUUGAAGCUGUUGGCGACCUUCCUCUAGAGCUUGCUAAUGGCUUCAUGGUUGUACUUAGAGAUGUUAUUUAUGUUCCCUCUUUACAGAGGAAUUUGAUUAGUGUCUCAUGUUUGGACAAUAAUGGUUUUGAUUGUCAUUUUGGAGAUGGCAAAUGUGAGA